ACACCGCGGGUCACAGCUCGGGGUCACAGGGGCUUUUACUCCAGCCAAUCAGGCCGCUCAGGAGGCUUUCCCUAUCGUAUAGCUCUGAUGGUGGGCCGGGCCCUUGCCUCAUAUAAGGUGAAAGACAAGUCUUUGCUCCUCAGGCCGGUCACACUUCAAAAAGGAGUCUCGCGCCGGGAACCCCCUUUAGAGGACACGGCAUCCAUGGGAACAGAGUGGAAACCUCCUCUCUGCAACUCUACACAUCCAAGCACCCAGAUCUGCAUCCGACCAUUCGAGGUGUCCAGGACCGGUGUGAACGACUAUCCUUCAAGACAGCGAUUGCCAUGAGGUUUCUCGACAAUGAAGUCAAUGUAUAGUCAACAUCUGAAAGGACACAUUCCAUGAUACAGGCAUUGUAAAAGCAGACUUCCUGGCUAAGCACGAGGCUGAGGAAUGUAUCCAAACCUCAGGUUCUUUAUGAGACUGAGUCACUUCUCAUGCAAUCAAAAGAACGUAGGAGGUCGCAGUCCACGCUGAUCAAAGAAAAUGAAGGUAGGUUAACAACCGCAAAAGAAUUCUCAAUGAUUCAUUCCUCCCACAGUCCUCGGGCCCAAGGUGCAGUGCUGCAUCUCUGGUCAAUUGGGAGUCUGAGAUGAAGCACUGUAGCUCGGGAGGGAGGGCAAUGCCACCAAACAUAAUGAAACAAUUAUACGUUUAGUGAAACGUUUAAUGUGAUCGUAAGAUGACUUUAAACUCAUUUUACAGAUUUGAGAUAUUACCUAUUUUGAAUAUCUUUUUAAUACAUGUAUAAUUAGCAGAAGCAAUUAAUUGUGUUAUUAGGAUUUCAAUUGUUGACUGGGUUCUUCAGACAGCAUUUGUGUAGUUCAUUCUUAGAUCAAUUGUUUUUUUUCUUUAACCUCAGUGUCCACAUGUCUUGUGCCACAGUGUAUUUCGUCAUUUCCCCGUCCCCGGGGUCCAGUUUUCCCAGGAAUCCCUUGGGCAAUCACAAGGGGGAUUCCUGGAAAUACUGUUCUUGGGGGUGGGGCUGGACAACAAAAAUAAUAUAGUACUUAUAUAUCUGUUUUUAGCAUCAACUCAACUUAAGUAUCACUAUGAAAAAAAAACUUUUUUGUUAUAACUACAUAUUUAUUAUUACUAGAAUGUAUUUUGAUAAUCUCUUUUGGUCUUGAAAAUAAAUAUUGCCUUGUUUUAGCAUGUUUCAGAAAUGUAUUUUCAAUAAAGCCAUUGUUUAUUCACAGUUCUUUUGUAUAAUAUUUCUGUAUAAACUAUCUUGUUUACACUGACUUACAAACUUUAUUUAUAUUCAACAUAUAAAUAGAAGAAACAGCGCCGCCUUUAUAUAAAGCUGCGCAUAACAUUGUAAGCAAAUAUAAUGUCCACAAGAUGGCGCAGCAACUUUCACAUUGUAUGGUGGUUCACGUGAAAACCUGCACUUCCGCAGACCACGUGGAGGCUCAGAUUACAUGAAUUUGGGAGUGUGACUGUAGAUAUUUAAAACAAUAUGUGAGAUACAAUCAUCACAACAGUACUACCCAUAAAAAACUUCAUGGAAACCUUCAUAUGUGUAAAUGCAAAAGUGAGCCAUGUAGCAUCACAUGCUGAAUGACUCAGAAGCCAUGUGAUAAUUCAUAAUAAACCCAUUUAUACUUUACUGUUGGUGGAAUGUUUCAUUGUCAUGAUUUUGACACGAAUAUGAGGAGGAAGCGCCUGUGUAAACACGCUCCAGAUACCUAUGUACUAUGAGUCAUCAGGAUUAUAGUAGGCAGUGAAUGCCCAUACAUUUAUGUGAGCUUCCACAUACUGUACUGUUCAUCGAUCCUGCCACCAACACUGUGACAAUGCGUGGGAGAAAAUGAUCCACACAUUUGGACAUCCGACAAACAUUUGUGAACAUUCCUUCUGCACGUGAUAGUAAAUAAACGGUAAGAUUUAAAAAAUGAGAUGUUCUGUGAAGACACUAAUACAUAUCAUAGGUUCCCUCAAGAUCAUUUAUGGGCUCCUCAGAGACAUCACCUGCAUAAAUGUUGAUAUCCCUUUACAUGAGAGAAUGGGGUAUCUACCCCAUAUGUACACAGUGAUCUAUACUGGGUGGCACUCUGUCAUGUUUAGCCCAACAACUACUGGUGGAAUCCAGCUUUGUUAAUUCUGAGCCUCUCAAUCCAGACGGGCACAAACGCUGACACAAAGAGA